UAUGGCCACAUCACGUUUAAACGUCGGUUCUUGUACGAUCGCCGAAGUUUAGCAACCUCGAGUCCGAUCAGUACCUAGAUGUGUGGCCGCUUGGGAGUACCAGGUGCUGUAAU